GACGAACGCUGGCGGCGUGCUUAACACAUGCAAGUCGAACGGAAAGGCCCUGCUUUUGUGGGGUGCUCGAGUGGCGAACGGGUGAGUAACACGUGAGUAACCUGCCCUUGACUUUGGGAUAACUUCAGGAAACUGGGGCUAAUACCGGAUAGGAGCUCCUGCUGCAUUGUGGGGGUUGGAAAGUUUCGGCGGUUGGGGAUGGACUCGCGGCUUAUCAGCUUGUUGGUGGGGUAGUGGCUUACCAAGGCUUUGACGGGUAGCCGGCCUGAGAGGGUGACCGGCGACAUUGGGACUGAGAUACGGCCCAGACUCCUACGGGAGGCAGAAGUGGGGAAUAUUGCACAAUGGGCGGAAGCCUGAUGCAGAAACGCCGCGUGCGGGAUGACGGCCUUCGGGGUGUAAACCGCUUUCGCCUGUGACGAAGCGUGAGUGACGGUAAUGGGUAAAGAAGCACCGGCUAACUACGUG
rnacentral:rRNA from 1 species